rnacentral:rRNA from 1 species
GGGUUGUGAGGUUAAGCGACUAAGCGUACACGGUGGAUGCCCUGGCAGUCAGAGGCGAUGAAGGACGUGCUAAUCUGCGAUAAGCGUCGGUAAGGUGAUAUGAACCGUUAUAACCGGCGAUUUCCGAAUGGGGAAACCCAGUGUGUUUCGACACACUAUCAUUAACUGAAUCCAUAGGUUAAUGAGGCGAACCGGGGGAACUGAAACAUCUAAGUACCCCGAGGAAAAGAAAUCAACCGAGAUUCCCCCAGUAGCGGCGAGCGAACGGGGAGGAGCCCAGAGCCUGAAUCAGUGUGUGUGUUAGUGGAAGCGUCUGGAAAGGCGCGCGAUACAGGGUGACAGCCCCGUACACAAAAAUGCACAUACUGUGAGCUCGAUGAGUAGGGCGGGACACGUGGUAUCCUGUCUGAAUAUGGGGGGACCAUCCUCCAAGGCUAAAUACUCCUGACUGACCGAUAGUGAACCAGUACCGUGAGGGAAAGGCGAAAAGAACCCCGGCGAGGGGAGUGAAAAAGAACCUGAAACCGUGUACGUACAAGCAGUGGGAGCCUCUUUAUGGGGUGACUGCGUACCUUUUGUAUAAUGGGUCAGCGACUUAUAUUCUGUAGCAAGGUUAACCGAAUAGGGGAGCCGAAGGGAAACCGAGUCUUAACUGGGCGUUAAGUUGCAGGGUAUAGACCCGAAACCCGGUGAUCUAGCCAUGGGCAGGUUGAAGGUUGGGUAACACUAACUGGAGGACCGAACCGACUAAUGUUGAAAAAUUAGCGGAUGACUUGUGGCUGGGGGUGAAAGGCCAAUCAAACCGGGAGAUAGCUGGUUCUCCCCGAAAGCUAUUUAGGUAGCGCCUCGUGAAUUCAUCUCCGGGGGUAGAGCACUGUUUCGGCAAGGGGGUCAUCCCGACUUACCAACCCGAUGCAAACUGCGAAUACCGGAGAAUGUUAUCACGGGAGACACACGGCGGGUGCUAACGUCCGUCGUGAAGAGGGAAACAACCCAGACCGCCAGCUAAGGUCCCAAAGUCAUGGUUAAGUGGGAAACGAUGUGGGAAGGCCCAGACAGCCAGGAUGUUGGCUUAGAAGCAGCCAUCAUUUAAAGAAAGCGUAAUAGCUCACUGGUCGAGUCGGCCUGCGCGGAAGAUGUAACGGGGCUAAACCAUGCACCGAAGCUGCGGCAGCGACGCUUAUGCGUUGUUGGGUAGGGGAGCGUUCUGUAAGCCUGCGAAGGUGUGCUGUGAGGCAUGCUGGAGGUAUCAGAAGUGCGAAUGCUGACAUAAGUAACGAUAAAGCGGGUGAAAAGCCCGCUCGCCGGAAGACCAAGGGUUCCUGUCCAACGUUAAUCGGGGCAGGGUGAGUCGACCCCUAAGGCGAGGCCGAAAGGCGUAGUCGAUGGGAAACAGGUUAAUAUUCCUGUACUUGGUGUUACUGCGAAGGGGGGACGGAGAAGGCUAUGUUGGCCGGGCGACGGUUGUCCCGGUUUAAGCGUGUAGGCUGGUUUUCCAGGCAAAUCCGGAAAAUCAAGGCUGAGGCGUGAUGACGAGGCACUACGGUGCUGAAGCAACAAAUGCCCUGCUUCCAGGAAAAGCCUCUAAGCAUCAGGUAACAUCAAAUCGUACCCCAAACCGACACAGGUGGUCAGGUAGAGAAUACCAAGGCGCUUGAGAGAACUCGGGUGAAGGAACUAGGCAAAAUGGUGCCGUAACUUCGGGAGAAGGCACGCUGAUAUGUAGGUGAAGCGACUUGCUCGUGGAGCUGAAAUCAGUCGAAGAUACCAGCUGGCUGCAACUGUUUAUUAAAAACACAGCACUGUGCAAACACGAAAGUGGACGUAUACGGUGUGACGCCUGCCCGGUGCCGGAAGGUUAAUUGAUGGGGUUAGCGGUAACGCGAAGCUCUUGAUCGAAGCCCCGGUAAACGGCGGCCGUAACUAUAACGGUCCUAAGGUAGCGAAAUUCCUUGUCGGGUAAGUUCCGACCUGCACGAAUGGCGUAAUGAUGGCCAGGCUGUCUCCACCCGAGACUCAGUGAAAUUGAACUCGCUGUGAAGAUGCAGUGUACCCGCGGCAAGACGGAAAGACCCCGUGAACCUUUACUAUAGCUUGACACUGAACAUUGAGCCUUGAUGUGUAGGAUAGGUGGAAGGCUUUGAAGUGUGGACGCCAGUCUGCAUGGAGCCGACCUUGAAAUACCACCCUUUAAUGUUUGAUGUUCUAACGUUGGCCCCUGAUCGGGGUUGCGGACAGUGUCUGGUGGGUAGUUUGACUGGGGCGGUCUCCUCCUAAAGAGUAACGGAGGAGCACGAAGGUUGGCUAAUCCUGGUCGGACAUCAGGAGGUUAGUGCAAUGGCAUAAGCCAGCUUGACUGCGAGCGUGACGGCGCGAGCAGGUGCGAAAGCAGGUCAUAGUGAUCCGGUGGUUCUGAAUGGAAGGGCCAUCGCUCAACGGAUAAAAGGUACUCCGGGGAUAACAGGCUGAUACCGCCCAAGAGUUCAUAUCGACGGCGGUGUUUGGCACCUCGAUGUCGGCUCAUCACAUCCUGGGGCUGAAGUAGGUCCCAAGGGUAUGGCUGUUCGCCAUUUAAAGUGGUACGCGAGCUGGGUUUAGAACGUCGUGAGACAGUUCGGUCCCUAUCUGCCGUGGGCGCUGGAGAACUGAGGGGGGCUGCUCCUAGUACGAGAGGACCGGAGUGGACGCAUCACUGGUGUUCGGGUUGUCAUGCCAAUGGCACUGCCCGGUAGCUAAAUGCGGAAGAGAUAAGUGCUGAAAGCAUCUAAGCACGAAACUUGCCCCGAGAUGAGUUCUCCCUGAGACUUUAAGUCUCCUGAAGGAACGUUGAAGACGACGACGUUGAUAGGCCGGGUGUGUAAGCGCAGCGAUGCGUUGAGCUAACCGGUACUAAUGAACCGUGAGGCUUAACCUUACAACGCCGAAG